GAACUAGGAAUAACUUGAUUCUCUUUAUGAUAUUUUUUAAAGGUUCAUUGAUUUAGAGAGAGAGCACACACAAGUAGGGGAGGGGAAGAGAUAGAGGGAGAGAAUCCCUAGCAGCAUCUGCGCUAUCAGAGCACGGUCCAAGUAGGGACUCGAUCCCACCACCUGUGGGAUCAUGACCUGAGACGAAAUCAAAAGUCGGAUGCUUAACCAACUGAGCCACCCAUGUGCUCCUAAGAGAUGAUUUAAAAAGCAAAAACAAAACAGAAAACUUUAUUCCAAGAAAAAACAAAUACAGAACAAAAUGUAAGUCAGAAGCUAGAGAAUGGUAAUAAUGCCACUCGAGUUUCAACAUGGAGAAUUUUGUGACAAAAUUUUCUAUUUUUCUCAACGCAGUUAUGAGGGAAAUGGGAAGCAACCAUGUGAUGACAAAGAUUUAUACUAUCAAAGAAAAGACAAUUUUAACAUUAUAUUAAAUGGAGAAAAGUAUGUGGUCACAGAAGGAAGAUGAGUUCUGCCUUCAGACUUCUUUGGACUCAAAAGUGCAACAUCAUCUCUUCCCUAGUGUGCUUGCCUGCCCUGCAGAUUUUGGACUUGUUAGAUUCUACAGUCUCGUGAGCCAUUUCCUUAACGCACGAGUGGCCCCCACAACUGCCACAUCCCCAAACCGAGGAAGAUUCAAAUAUACAGUAAGAAUAACUACUUCGGAAGGACCCCCUAUCUUCUUGAUAAAAAGACUUAUUUUUCAUAUGCUCAGUACUGAUCAAUAUUGGAGACAUAAGAUGCCAUGUUGUUAGAUGAUUUAUAAAGCAGUCCAAAGAGCAAAGAAUCUGGGGAGUCCUCCAGGCAAGUGCUCAUGAGGAACUGAGGCCUCAAUCCAACAGUGUACAGAAACUAAAUCCUGCCAAUAACAACAUGUGUGAGCAAGAGCACAGAAACUUCCAGCCAAGCCAUAAUUGACUGUGGAAAUGUGAGAGACCCAGAACCAGAGGAGCUGGCAAAGCCACAACUUCUCAAGUGAGCACUGGAAGUUUGCAUUUUUCAUGAAAUUUAUUUGUCAAAUUUAUUGGCAUAAAAUUGUACUUAAUGUAUCCUAAUUUCCAUUUUUCCUAAAUAUCAUUUUAAUCUUUAGGAUUUGUAUUAAUGUCUUCUCUCUCAUUUCUGAUUUUGGUAAUAGGUGUCUAUCUUGCUCUGACUGGCUGGAAGUCCAUCAAUUUUAUUGAUCAUUUCAAAGAACCAACUUCCAUUUAUUUCCUGAAAUGUUUUUUCUGGUUUCAUUGUCAUUAUCACCUUCUCUAGUCAUUAUUAUCCCCUUCCUUCCACUUGCUUUGUAUGUAAUUUUAAUUUCUUUCAAUAGUUUCUUAAGAUAGAGGUAUAGUCAUUAUUUUAAGACCUUUUCUCUCCUCUCUUAUGAGGACUUGAUACUAUUUAUUUUUCUGUGAGAAUAGUUUUAGUUGCAUCCUACAAGUUUUGAUUUGUUGUGUUUUCAUUUGUAUUUAAUUCAAAAUAUUUGGAAUUUUCAUUUUAACUUUCUUUUGACUAUAUGUUUUUUGUAAUUUUAAUUUCCCAAAUAUCUGGGAAAUUUUAAGAUAUAUUUUAUAAUUGAUUUCUAGGUUAAUUCUGUUUUAAUCUGAGAAUGUACUUUGAAUGAUUGUAAUCCUUUAAAUUUGUUAAGGUGGUUUUUUUGUUUUUGUUUUUGUUUUUGUUUUUGUUUUUGGAGAGAGGGGAAGAGUGGGGACUAUUUGGGAAAUAUCCCAUGUGCAUUUGAAAAGAAUGUGUAUUGUGUUGUUUGCAUGGAUUGCAAAUAAUCAGGUCAGAUUGGUUGAUAAUGUUCCAAUCUUCUCUAUACAUAAUGAUUUUGUUUACUUUUUAUUUUUUAAAAAUUUUUCCGCAUAUUUUAAAAAAUUGAUUACUAAAAAAGUCUGAAACUUCAAAUGUGUUUAUCUUCUUAACUAUUCUUAGUGUUUUUUCCUCAGCAUUAGAUGUCCAGUUGCCUGGACCCAGUACAUCUACUUACCCUUUCCCACAUGUAGUGUUUUUUGUUUGUUUUGUUAGCUCAUGUUUCUCUGUUCUUUUCCCUCAGUUGCAAUGGAUCUUCAUCUGUCAUUGGGAUCUCAGUCUUUACUCUCACCAAGGGGAUUAAGCUUUUUUUUGUCCUUAGGGCAUCAAGUUCUGGACAGUUUUUUGUUGCUCCAAUCAUGGUGGCUUCUACCCCACCCAGGUCUAAUACUAUUUCUCUGGCCCUAAUCCUCAGAUGCACAUAAUGGGAUCUGUGAAGAGCCUACAAGUUGGAACAAAUUUGUCUCAUUUCUGUAACUCCCAGGAAUUCUAUACUCUCACAUUAACUUAAAUUGUCACCAGCUAGACCCCAAGACCUGGUCUUUACUGAAUACCUAUUUGUAUUCACUAACCUUUAUCUUAAAGUUUCCCUUAAGCUCUUCUUUGCAUCUUUCUUCUUAACUCAGAAAAUGAGACCUGAAACCACUUCCAAGGUGAUGGCAACUACCCUCACAAAAUCUACCCAACCCCAAUCUGCCCAAACCACCCAAACAGGUUGAGCUAAAUCUGACUCUUUCCUGAGCAGAUGGACCAGGGAAUGACCUCUGGAAUGACCUGUAAUUACCUUUACCUCAUUAUAAUAUUAACAUAUCUGCCCAAGGAGGGGACUUGGCCCCACUUACAUAACAUACAAUGUGACCUUAUGCCCACCUCUACAAAGGAUGACAAGGCUUUGCUAUCUAAAUAUUUAUCCUGAACCUAAACAAAAGGAACCCAUUCACCCUCUCUAGGAAAGUCAUGGUUUUGGAAGCCAUUCCCUGAGAUAUCUCCUUAUUUGCUGCAAAUAAAAGUUUUCUUUAUGUAACAACCUGUAUGGUGUCUGACUCAGCAAGGAACGAACUCAUGUUGGUUCACCUACAUCAUUAUCUUAGCAAUUGUUUAAAAUUUUAGCUGAAAUCUUACCUAUGCUGCUCUGUGCCCUAGGUUAUCUACAAUUUGCAAGUCAUAUCUCUUUGGCGGUGCCUUUUUCCAUGGGUUUCUGGCUAGUUGUUUACACUGCAACCUUCACCUUCUGAUGGUUACAAGAAGAGUUAUGGAUUUACACUUUAUCUUUUUCUUGUUGGUAGGUUGGGACAUAAACUUUUCAUCUUCUGCAUCAUAAGUGGAAGCAGAAAGUGGAAGAAAAUCACCUUCACAAGAGAUAGCAUUAAGAGGUGGAAAUUCAACAACUUUGUUGAAAGAUUUAAUAAUAAAUGGAAGGAAGUAAUGGAGCUAGAAUUUCUUUAUAUACUUUAAAUCAUAACAAACAUGAAAUACCCUACACACAAGCUAAGUCCUUAAAAAAGCAAAUUUCGUGUAUACUACAUUGCUUAUGCAAAUUAAUUUAUUCUACAUUACUCAUCAGAUUAGGUAUUUUGAAGUUUGUCAGAGACUGUGCUCCUAGGUAAUUCACUACUGGGUGUUUUUACAUUUAUCAACUAUCUGACUUGUGGGAGUUCUUUAUAAUACCAAAGGAUUCACCUGAAGCAAGUAGCUACCUGACUUGUUUUGUAAUAUUGCAAGUUUCUCACUCAUUUUGAUGCAAAGUUUUAAACAUACCUCAAUCCUUCUAAGUUAAUGAGCUCCAAACAGCUGCAUUCAUAAUAAAUCUACUCCUCGGUAUUGUGCCUUUGAAAGAUGCAUCUACAUUAAAUUUCUUUAAAUUAUGAUUCAGUCAGAUGAUAUUAUAACCACAGAGUUUAUACACACAAUUAAUAAGGUAAAACCCAAACAAUAACUCAUACUAGGUUAGUUCUAGGCAGCAUCAUGAGAUUUCUUUUUUUGUAACCUCAUUUCACCUUUUUACUCCUCUAAUGUCAGUUCAGUACUUGAAAUCUAUCCUUCAAAUGUAUAAGAUAUUCUCCAACUAUGCUCCUUUGUUUAAAAGUUCCCUCAAUUUCUUAAAAUAUUUUUGUUUUUCUCUACCUCAUUUUCUCAGGCUUUCUCCUCUUUGGUUUUUAAUUUCUAUUUAUCACCAGAAUGGAUGAAUUAUAACAAAAGUAGUCUUGACAAUCAAGCUAUUUAAAAGGAAAUCAGUUAAUGGAAUGUAUUUCAAAACUGACAAAUUCUCUCACCUUUGCUUCUUACUCCCAUUCUGUUCUAGAAAUGGGUUUCUUUCAAAAGCAAAGCUCAAUAGACUUAUGAAUACAUUUGGUAUGAGAAAGAAUGAAUAGAAUAAUAUUCAUUCACUUUAGAAAAAUUCUAGCAAUGGAACUUGUAUUAAGAACCCAUAAUUAUGAGCCCCCCAAAAAACCCCAAAAAACAAAAAACAAAAAAAAAACCCCAGCAAAGUCUUAAGUUUGAGUCUUAGAGAAUGUACCUAUAAUAUUCUAUAAAGUUGUUUUUUGUGUGAGUCUCAGCACACUAUUUUUUAUCUUUUAAAAAAUUUUAAUGCCAGUAUGGUUAACAUAGAGCAUUUUAUUAGUUUCAU